CAACAGGGAUUGCCUCAGUAACGGCGAGUGAAGCGGCAACAGCUCAAAUUUGAAAUCUGGCUCCUUCGGGGUCCGAGUUGUAAUUUGCAGAGGAUGCGUCGGGUACGGGUCCCUACCGAGUUCCCUGGAACGGGACGCCAUAGAGGGUGAGAGCCCCGUCUGGUAGGAUACCCAGCCCAUGUGACGCUCCCUCGACGAGUCGAGUAGUUUGGGAAUGCUGCUCUAACGGGAGGUAUACUCCUUCCAAAGCUAAAUACCGGCUGGAGACCGAUAGCGCACAAGUAGAGUGAUCGAAAGAUGAAAAGCACUUUGAAAAGAGAGUCAAACAGCACGUGAAAUUGUUAAAAGGGAAGCACUCGCUACCAGACUUGGGUUUGGCGGUUCAACCGGGGCCACGCCCCGGGGCAUUCCGCCAGCUCAGGCCAGCAUCAGCUUUCCGUCGGGGGCAAAGACGUCGGGAAUGUAGCUCCUCUUCGGGGGAGUGUUAUAGCCCGGCGUGUCAUACCCUUCGGGGGGCUGAGGUACGCGCUUCUGCAAGGAUGCUGGCGUAAUGGUAGCUAGUGACCCGUCUUGAAACACGGACCAAGGAGUCAACCUUAUGUGCGAGUGCCCGGGCGUAAAACCCCAGCGCGGAAUGAAAGUGAACGUAGGUGAGAGCUUCGGCGCAUCACCGACCGAUCCUGAUGUCCUCGGACGGAUUUGAGUGAGAGCAUAUAGGGUUGGACCCGAAAGAAGAUGAACUAUGCGUGUGUAGGGUGAAGNCAGAGGAAACUCUGGUGGANGCUCGCAGCGGU
rnacentral:rRNA from 1 species